rnacentral:rRNA from 1 species
AUGAACGCUGGCGGCGUGCCUAAUACAUGCAAGUCGAGCGAACAGACGAGGAGCUUGCUCCUCUGACGUUAGCGGCGGACGGGUGAGUAACACGUGGAUAACCUACCUAUAAGACUGGGAUAACUUCGGGAAACCGGAGCUAAUACCGGAUAAUAUAUUGAACCGCAUGGUUCAAUAGUGAAAGACGGUUUUGCUGUCACUUAUAGAUGGAUCCGCGCCGCAUUAGCUAGUUGGUAAGGUAACGGCUUACCAAGGCAACGAUGCGUAGCCGACCUGAGAGGGUGAUCGGCCACACUGGAACUGAGACACGGUACAGACUCCUACGGGAGGCAGCAGUAGGGAAUCUUCCGCAAUGGGCGAAAGCCUGACGGAGCAACGCCGCGUGAGUGAUGAAGGUCUUCGGAUCGUAAAACUCUGUUAUUAGGGAAGAACAAAUGUGUAAGUAACUAUGCACGUCUUGACGGUACCUAAUCAGAAAGCCACGGCUAACUACGUG